CAAAUGAGGCCUCACCACCAUCAGCAGUGGACAAGAUUCUACUUGCACUGUGCAUCGUGCCCCAACUCCCUUCACGCAGUUCCCGCCACCAUUCCGGGUCGCUGAUCCAGGAAGCAGUUUAUUUUGGCUGCCCCAUUCUCAAAGACACAACUUCAAGACAUCAGCAGCGCCCUACACCGCAACGCCCGGGGGAUGGAGCGGUACCAGGGUCCCGCAUCCGCAUUAGCGACAGUUAGGGCACCGUAGUUCAGUUCGGCUGUCGCCUGGGGCCCUCUCCCAGGCGGCGGGUCUAACGGGAAGCUGGCGGGGGAAGUCCUCACCGAAGGGAAUCCCCACGCACGCUGCGCCUCGCGUCACUGGGGCAAGGGGGCGGGGCGAGGCACGGAUUAAAGGGCCUAGGGACUUCCUUACCGGAGAGGGGAGUGUCCAGGAUCUUGACGAGGGUGCCAAGGGUCUAGACCUGAAUGGGGAAAACGGGAGGAUGGGUCCGGUAACAGCCAAACGCCAUCUCCACGUAAUGUGCCUCCAUACAUAUAAACAUACACGGCUGCCCUUCCCAGGCCUCAGCCCAAUGCCUUCUUUCCGCCUGAUGUCUGGCCCCUACAUCCAGGGGAAGAAUGUCUCCGCUCGAGCUCCUAGCCCG
rnacentral:lncRNA from 1 species